UACGAAGGGGGCUAGCGUUGCUCGGAAUCACUGGGCGUAAAGGGUGCGUAGGCGGGUCUUUAAGUCAGGGGUGAAAUCCUGGAGCUCAACUCCAGAACUGCCUUUGAUACUGAGGAUCUUGAGUUCGGGAGAGGUGAGUGGAGCUGCGAGUGUAGAGGUGAAAUUCGUAGAUAUUCGGAAGAACACCAGUGGCGAAGGCGACUCACUGGACACGUAUUGACGCUGAGGUGCGAAAGCGUGGGGAGCAAACAGG
rnacentral:rRNA from 1 species